CGGGGGCCCAAGGUGAGAUAAAGCUGUAGUCUCACCGGAAGGACUAGAGGUUAGAGGAGACCCCCCCAAAACA
rfam:Dengue virus type 2 strain 64412 3' non-coding region, partial sequence.